GGUGCUGAGAUGCAGAGAAAUGUGCAGGGCAGGGGCUCCGGACCGGCUGCAGAGAUGCCCUGGCCCCUCUCCUCCAGCGACAAGCCAGGCCACAGGAAAUAAAGGUGUCUUCCAAGGGACAGACCGAAGGACAAGCACUUAAGACACAAACAAGGGCACAGUCCAGGGGGCAGCUUGGAGCCCGAGCAGCCCUGUUUGUAAUAACCACACAUGGGAAGCACCCAAAUGCCCCUCAGCCGUAGAACAGAUACACCGACAGCAUUCUCCGGUCGGUGCAGUGGAAUGACAGCGCUGCUACGAAUAGUGCACAGUCACAUAUAACAUGAUGACUCACGCAUGAUUUGGGGUAACCAGCUACUGAGCGCCUACCGUAUGGCACGUACUCAGCCAGAUGCAGGGUACUGGAGCCGGCAGCAAGAUCCGCUGUCCCUCCUGGAGGAUCCUGUAGCAGAAUGGGAAGCGCCUCUGCGAAAGGAAUGCCUGCUAGGCCCGCAGCCGGGGAGCCCAGCAUAGGACCUGCUCAUAGUAGGUCCCGCAUCAGUGUUUCUGAAAAGACAAAUGAACGCACGCAUAAAAGCGUAUGCGUAAAGUUUCUUGUGAAUAAAAUUUAAACGUCAGAUUAAUUGACUUCUGCGGUCUGGAGUUGGGCACAGAGAAUGGACAGAGAGCAAGGUUACUGCGCAUGUGCAAGAACAGGUGCAGCUGCCCGAGCGCGUGUGCGCGGUAACCUUGCUCUCUGUCCAUUCAGAGCAGGACUAGGGGCGGGGCCGCACUUCCUGCCUCCAUUCCAGCCUAGCCCCCUGGGGCCUGGUCCAGCUGCCCGCAGCAAGCAGGGGGUUGCAGAAUGUGUGUUUGUGUUCCCUUAAAAGUCAGGUUGACUCUCCACCCCCAGCGGGAUGACAUUGGAGGGCUCUUUGGGGUGAUUAGUAGGGUGGAGUCCUACCGAUGGAUGAGUGCCCUCAUAAGAAGAGGGCACAAGAAAGCUCCGUUCCUCUCUUCUUGCA